rnacentral:piRNA from 1 species
UGAGGAUUAUUGUGGGAAUAAAAAGUUCU